AACGAACGCUGGCGGCAGGCCUAACACAUGCAAGUCGAGCGCCCCGCAAGGGGCGCGGCGGCCGGGUGAGUAACGCGUGGGAAUAUGCCCUUUGCUACGGAAUAGUCUCGGGAAACUGGGGGUAAUACCGUAUACGCCCUUUGGGGGAAAGAUUUAUCGGCGAAGGAUUAGCCCGCGUUGGAUUAGGUAGUUGGUGGGGUAAUGGCCUACCAAGCCGACGAUCCAUAGCUGGUUUGAGAGGAUGAUCAGCCACACUGGGACUGAGACACGGCCCAGACUCCUACGGGAGGCAGCAGUGGGGAAUCUUAGACAAUGGGGGCAACCCUGAUCUAGCCAUGCCGCGUGAGUGAUGAAGGCCUUAGGGUUGUAAAGCUCUUUCAGCUGGGAAGAUAAUGACGGUACCAGCAGAAGAAGCCCCGGCUAACUCCGUG
rnacentral:rRNA from 1 species